UGCAAUCUCCACCUGCCUGGUUUAAUGAGCUCCAGUGCUGUGAAUCUCUGCUUAAAGCACCAUAUGACAUUCACCUGUAAUCCCAGCACUUCGAAAGGCCAAGGCGGGAGGAUCAAUUGAGCAGCCUGGGCAACAUAGGGAGACCUCAUCUCUACAAAAAAUAAAAAUAAAUUAGCCAGGUAUGGUGGUGCAUGCCUGGGGUCCCAGCCACUACUCAGGUGGUUGAGUUGAGAGGAUUGCUUGAGCCAGGGAAUUUGAGGCUGCAGCGAGUGGUGAUCACACCACUGCACUCCAGCCUGGGUGACAGAGUGAGACCCUCUCUCUAAAAAAAAAAAAAAAAAAAUCCACCAUGUUACACUCAUCAUCUCCAUGUGAGCAGUUCCUUCUAUCAGUAGAUUGCUGGUCACAGGCCACAGUGAUCUUUUGUGGCUUUCAUGUAUAUUUCAUCAUGUUUAGUGCAAUCCCAUAAACCUUGAAUAACACGAUGGGACCCAUAUGGAGUGCCACUACUGAUGCUGGAAAUGCUCCCAAGAAGCAGAAAAAAGUCAUGACAUUACAAGAAAAAGUUGCAUUGCUUGAUAUGCACUGUAGAUUGAGGUCUGAGGUCUGCAGCUGUGGUUGCCCCGACUUCAGACAGAUGAUUUGUCGUGUAAACAGACCAUGUAAACUUACAGCGUCAAUAAAUACAUUUCAGUACUGUAAAUGUAUUUUCUUUUCCUUACGAUUUUCUAAAUAACAAUCUCUUUUCUUUAGCUUACUUUGUUG
rnacentral:lncRNA from 1 species